GUUGGAAACUCUAAAAUAGUAUGAGAUAAAUUUCAAUUGUUUCUAGCAUUUAAAUUUUGUAUGCUCAAAGUUGCUGGAACGAUAUGGCAAACAGAAAUAAUGGAAUCGAAAAAAUAUCGUGAUAUGUUAGAAUAAACUGAGUAAAAGUUCCCCUUGAAAAAGGGGUUCUUUCAAUUAGAACCCCACACUAACACACUCCUUCACUUUUGGCCAGCCGCCCUUCUUU